CCAGACUCCUACGGGAGGCAGCAGUGGGGAAUAUUGCACAAUGGGGGGAACCCUGAUGCAGCGACGCCGCGUGGGUGAAGGAGCACCUCGGUGCGUAAAGCCCUAUCGGCAGGGAAGAAAAGCGAACAGGUUCGCCUGGACGGUACCUGACUAAGAAGCCCCGGCUAACUACGUGCCAGCAGCCGCGGUAAUACGUAGGGGGCAAGCGUUAUCCGGAUUCACUGGGUGUAAAGGGAGCGUAGACGGCGACGCAAGUCUGGAGUGAAAGCCCGGGGCCCAACCCCGGAACUGCUUUGGAAACUGUGCAGCUCGAGUGCAGGAGAGGUAAGCGGAAUUCCUAGUGUAGCGGUGAAAUGCGUAGAUAUCAGGAGGAACACCGGUGGCGAAGGCGGCCUGCUGGACUGCAACUGACGUUGAGGCCCGAAAGCGUGGGGAGCAAACAGGAUUAGAUACCCGUGUAU
rnacentral:rRNA from 1 species